UGUGUACCCACAGAGGAAAGACCAUGUGAGGACACAGCAAGAAGGUGGCCAUCUGCAAGCCAAGAAGAGAGGCUUCUGGAGAAACCAAACCUGCUGACCCCUUGAUCUUGGACUCUAGCCUCCAGAACUAGGAUAAUAUUAAUAUCCCAAGUGUCCAGAGGGAGAAGGUUAACACACCAGUACGGAAAUGAGCUGGAUGCUGACUGAUGUACAAAAAUAUCAAAGCUUCUUUUAAGGUGCCAAGCAGUCCUCCAGGCUGCAGAGAAAGCUGUUCUGUGAGAUCUGCUUCCGCUUUAGGGUGUGGUGGAUAGCAGAAAAGAACAGGAAGGAAAUUUCCAACAGACAACAGAAUCUCUUACGGCUGGCACCCAGAACGUACCAUUUGCAUCCCUUUCCUGACACACUACUGACAGCUUGGCACAGUUGAUGUCUGAAGAGAUACUGAGAGGCCAGCUCCUUAAAUGUUAACAUUUGGAAUCUUUUCCUGCUGAGCCUUGAACAGUCACUUAAGCACAUGGAGUCUAACUGAAUACUUUUUGCCUGGUUUGAGUAUCAGUGAAAACAAGG